ensembl:lncRNA
AUCUGCUCUUCAGCAUGAUACUCCACUAUCCAAUUGCAUAAGGUUCUUUUCUACUUAUUCUUCAUCAACCAUUUUUCUUUCUUUCUUUUUUCCCCUGACUAUUUCAGGGGAUGAAAGAGAACAGGGGAGUUUACUUUGCACCAUGCUGAAAACUGAUAAAUCUUUAACCCUGCAUGUGAACAAGCCAGGAACCAAUGAAAUUCUGACAGGGCUGAAGAAGGUCCUUCAUCACUCUCACAGAAGAAUGCAAGGCAUGCUGAGUGUGAAGACGAUGCUGCCCUGUGGUCUCCUCACCAACAGUGCCUGUGAAACUUUAACAGUGGGAGGCCCUUCCUGCCUUCUUGCCAGCGGUGUGCCUGGCUGGGAAUACUCACCAAUGUACAGCUUUAUAUAUACUGAUGUAAGUCAGGGGCAGAGUGUAGGAGUCAAACAUCCCUGUUGGGUGUUGGGAACUUUUCCCAAGGAACUGACGUUUAUCCAUAGCUGCAGCAGUCUCCUUCCCUGACUAUUUAGGCAUCAGUCCGUGGCUGAAACUGUAGUACUAAAAACAAGCUGGAGAAAAGGGCAAGUGUAUUUACAGCAGUAAGAGCAAAACGUCUAUAUUCAUAAAUACUGCAAAGGACAAGCCUCUGCCAACAAGGCAUUGAAGCAGAGCUGCGGCAGGAUCCAGCGGUCCUCCUGGAGACGUGGUGGCAACGACAUCUAGUGUCAAGAGUCCAAAUAGGAGGUUUCACACCAGCAUCCUCCCCAUUGGGCCUGGAAACCUACUUUAUUUAAUCCAGUCUUCUUCACAGUAUAAUGCUUCCUUCCCUUCUUUAUGGUCUCUACGAGAUAUUUUAUUGUUGGUGGUCUUAAAUGUUUUCUAUCUGUUUAAUGUAUCACAAGGUAGGAAGACACAACCAAAAAUAUAUCAUCUAUCAGGUUUAUUCCAAGCAUACAAAGCAUCAGGGAUGACUGCAUCAAGGAUGAGGAGAGUCUUCUCUUUAGAAAGAAGAGGGAGAAAGAGGUUUUCAAUUGGCAGAAUUAUCACGUUAUAAGACCGUGGUGGAGAAGCUAUAACUUGAUGUAUGUGCCUUAUGAUGUCUAACUAAUAUUUUUUUUCCUACUCUGUGCU